rnacentral:rRNA from 1 species
GAAUUUGAUAUAUAUUUGUAUUAGAAGGUUAGAAUAAUUUUAAAUAUAUAAUAUAUAUUUUAUUGGGAGGAUAAUUAAAUAUUUGUAACUUUAAUUAGAUUAAAAUAUAAAUUGAUGAAAUUUGGAUUGGUUAGUAAAUUAAUGAAGAAUUAAUUACCUUAGGGAUAACAGCGUGAUAUUCUUGGAGAGUUCAUAUUAAUAAGAGUGAUUGC